CACGUAGGAGGCAAACGUUAUCCGGAUUUACUGGGCGUAAAGCGCGUGCAGGCUGUUCAACAAGUUGGGCGUGAAAGCUCCCGGCUCAACUGGGAGAGGUCGUUCAAUACUGUUGGACUAGAGGAUGGUAGAGGAAGGCGGAAUUCCGGGUGUGGCGGUGGAAUGCGCAGAUAUCAGGAGGAACACCGAUGGCGAAGGCGAUCUCUUGGUCCAUUACUGACGCUGAGGCG
rnacentral:rRNA from 1 species